AGUGCAUCUUUUAAAAAUAGAGCUCAAAUUAAAUGGGAAAGCUUAAUGGGACAAGUAAUGACACAUGCUACCACUUAAAAAAAAAAAACACACAUUUUCUGACACGGAGGCCAAAGAGCCCAGAAAACGACCUACCUCAACAUCGUAUUGGGGGGCACACCUGUUAAUACUCCAGAGCGGAAUGGCAAAUGCCAUUGUGGGGCGCAGGCCUGCUAUACUUAAUAAGCUCAAGUUCCCCACUCCGAUUACAUUUUUAAAAAAGUAUUCCUCGUCCUAACAACUUGAUUAAAUUAUUGAGAAGGGAAUCCCGGCUAUGUGUCCACGAAGCUCCCGUGCGAUGAACCCGAUCGGCAAGCUUCCACUGAGCUUCUCAUCAGCUUCGCGCUCGAAGGCAGCCACUGAGCACAUGUGCCGGCUGCUGCGACACUUCACGCCACCGCGAGUUCCUUCCAGUCCACGCACACGUGUGUCUCCUCCACGGAAUCAGACUGACCCGUGUCCUGCCAAACCCCAAGCCCUCUACCUCUGAAUCACAGAGGAGGGCUUUCCUGGACCCAGCACGCUCCUGAAAUCUCCUUCCCCCCGUCCCCCCUGGCCCGUCGCUCCCCGAGAAUGAGUGCUGUUCCCGACUUCCGUGGGAACACUGGUCACCGAACGCUCGUCUGACUUGAUAGCCGGGGCGGCAGCACCCGAGAGAAGCCGUGGUCACCGCCCUGGAGCGUGAGGCAAGCUCGGCCUGGCUCUCAGGCAACAGCGGAGCGGCCGGAGAGGAACACCGUGGCCCCAAAGAGCCACCAGGAGCCCGGCCACAGCCGCUCCGAAGCCAGACACCUCACUCCCUCUCUCUCCUGGUGGGCGAGCCAGGCCCCUACGGUACAGAAAAGACUAAAAAAGCCCACAACCAGUGCUCUUCUCGGAUUUUAACUCACCCUCCGAAUAAACAUGUAAUUCUUGCCUGGAAAAUA